GCGCUCACUCCGGCAGCAUCAAUAUUAAAAUAGGAACCAUACAGAGACGAUUAGCAAAAAUAAUAAUAAUAAAUAAAUAAAUAAAUAAAGAGAUGAUUAGCAUGGCCCCUGUACAAGGAUGACAUGCAAAUUUGUGAAGCAGCCCAUAUUUUC
rnacentral:snRNA from 1 species